AUGGUGCCGAGCCCGAGCGCGUUCCACACGCCUCUGGAGGUGUUCACGACGUUGUUCUUGCAGCCGUGCGCGGUGUCGCACUCGUCCACCACCGUGGCCAGCACGCUCUGCCCGUUGUCCGCCCUCGUGAUGCGGAUCGUCCUGAAGCACCGGAUCCCACCCUGGUACCACUCCGUGGACAGCGCCGCCAGCAUGUCGUCGUCGCUGUGGUACUUGCCGUCGCACUCCGCCGGCGGGCCGCCGUCCUCGCCGCGCUUGAACCCGUUGACCGACAUCACCGCCGGCAUGCCAUAG
rnacentral:rRNA from 1 species